rnacentral:rRNA from 1 species
GAUGAACGCUAGCGGCAGGCUUAACACAUGCAAGUCGAGGGGUGUAGUAGCAAUACUAGAGACCGGCGCACGGGUGCGUAACGCGUAUGCAAUCUACCUUUUCCAGAGGGAUAGCCCAGAGAAAUUUGGAUUAAUACCUCAUAGCAUUGCGAAAUGGCAUCAUUUUGCAAUUAAAGUCACAACGGUAAAAGAUGAGCAUGCGUCCCAUUAGCUAGUUGGUAAGGUAACGGCUUACCAAGGCAACGAUGGGUAGGGGUCCUGAGAGGGAGAUCCCCCACACUGGUACUGAGACACGGACCAGACUCCUACGGGAGGCAGCAGUGAGGAAUAUUGGACAAUGGGCGGCAAGCCUGAUCCAGCCAUGCCGCGUGCAGGAUGACGGUCCUAUGGAUUGUAAAGCACUUUAAG